GAUCCUGGCUCAGGAUGAACGCUGGCGGCGUGCUUAACACAUGCAAGUCGAACGGAGUUUUAACGGAAGUUUCGGAUGGAAGUUAAGAACUUAGUGGCGGACGGGUGAGUAACGCGUGGGUAACCUGCCUCAUACAGGGGGAUAACAGUUAGAAAUGACUGCUAACACCGCAUAAUAUAGUGAAACCGCAUGAUUUUGCUAUCAAAUAUUUAUAGGUAUGAGAUGGGCCCGCGCCUGAUUAGCUAGUUGGUGGGGUAAAGCCUACCAAGGCGACGAUCAGUAGCCGGCUUGAGAGAGUGACCGGCCACAUUGGGACUGAGACACGGCCCAAACUCCUACGGGAGGCAGCAGUGGGGAAUAUUGGACAAUGGGGGAAACCCUGAUCCAGCGAACCGCCGCGUGAGUGAAGAAGUAUUUCGGUAUGUAAAGCUCUAUCAGCAGGGAAGAUAAUGACAGUACCUGACUAAGAAGCCCCGGCUAACUACGUGCCAGCCGCAGC
rnacentral:rRNA from 1 species